rnacentral:rRNA from 1 species
CCUACGGGUGGCAGCAGUGGGGGAUAUUGCACAAUGGGGGAAACCCUGAUGCAGCGACGCCGCGUGGGUGAAGAAGCGCCUCGGCGCGUAAAGCCCUUUCAGCAGGGAAGAAAAUGACGGUACCUGAAGAAGAAGCCCCGUCUAACUACGUGCCAGCAGCCGCGGUAAUACGUAGGGGGCAAGCGUUAUCCGGAUGUACUGGGUGUAAAGGGGGCGCAGACGGCGAUGCAAGCCAGGAGUGAAAGCCCGGGGCACAACCCCGGGACUGCUGUUGGAACUGGGUGGCUAGAGUGCAGGAGGGGCAGGCGGAAUUCCUAGUGUAGCGGUGAAAUGCGUAGAUAUCAGGAGGAACCCCGGUGGCGAAGGCGGCCUGCUGGACUGCAACUGACGUUGAGGCCCGAAAGCGUGGGGAGCAAACAGGAUUAGAUACCCUUGUAGUC